GUCAGCAGGUCGCCUGGGUCUCUGUCUCAGUGCUCAGCAGGGCGAGGACAGGACAGAACGGGCCCCAUCACAGACUGCGCUUAGAAGGAACUCAGUAAAACAAAGACCAUUUUCUUCUGGAGGCAACUCAAGGAGAUUUCCAGCAUCACUGGUACUCAAUAUUGAAGGAAUGAAAAUACGUGAGGAAUAAAAUAAUGAAGAAAGUGACCUCUACCGCAAGGACACAGGCCCUGAGAGCUGAGACUGUGAAGGGGGCAGGCAAAGAUCCACGCCCAGACAGGCCACCCCUGCUCUCCUGGGAAAGGGGCCGAGAGCCAGAGAGGUCGGGGCAGAGAGACCCUAAGUGCGAGGACCAGGCCAGGGCCUUUACCAGCAAAGACCGGCCCUUCUGCCUGCGCCCUGAGGUCACGGAGAAAGGCAGGGGUGGGGUAUGGUCAUCCUUCCCAAGGUCCUGGAGUCAGGUCUGCUUACCAAGCUACCAUGUGUCCCAUGACAUUCUGGAGGCCUCCAGGCCCAAUGCAGGUCACAUCCACUGUCCUCCCGGCCCUGUCCUGUCCACUGGGUGGCUACCCUCUUCCCACCCUCCAGUAUUGACUGCGUUGUGUGGGAUGGGGAAGACCUCCGGUCCCCUCCACCAAACAAAGCACAAGACAAAGUGCCCGCCAGCGUGAGUGCCGUGAGCACCGUGAACCUUCUCUAUGCCGAGGGGCACACAGCCUUGAGCGUCCACGGGGGAUGGGCCUGUGGGUGCUUUCCCUCUGCCCCAGGGAAGCGGUGGUAAUCACACCUGUGAGAUGCCCACAAUCACGCGUGCAGCCAUCCGUCUCUAGGUGCCCGGGGCCUGGAAGCCCAGGAGCUCCCACAUCCAGGGAGGAGGCACGGAUCAGAUCACAAGCGCCCACCACUGCCAUCUGUGCAUACUGGGAGGGCUGAUGGCAGAGGCUAAGGAACGGGAGAGGCCGGGAAAAGUGCGUGAAGAUACAUACCAAACACACAACGCUCAACUCUCGCAGAGCUUUCUCUAAAUGCAUCUCACUUACCGAAAGAGUACCUGAAAAACAAA
rnacentral:antisense_RNA from 1 species